GUAGGAUAUUUUCCUCAAGCACUUGGCAAACUUCGUUCCGCCUCAUCAGUGGGGCCUCGGCUGAAACGUUUCUUUAGAUGUCUGCCUUGACUUAUCGAGCUAGGCAUCUCCCCGAACCCAACGCUCCCCAUUACAUCAUCCUGUUUAUUUCUCUACAGUGCCUUUCACAACACAUAGCUGUCUUCUGUGUUUACUGGUUUAUUAUCACUCUCUUCCCUGAACCGACAAACUCUACAAGGGCAGACCUCCCGGGCUCAGACUGAGCACCGCGCUACUGUACACUAUUGCACUGUGCAGUACGCACACAGCAGCACCACUGUGACAGUGGCUGGCAGACCUGGGAGCUACUUCUAUGAUAUGUUCGCAUCUGUGAAUGCUCGGAAUGUGAGGUCGAUU
rnacentral:lncRNA from 1 species